rnacentral:rRNA from 1 species
AGUGAACGCUGGCGGUAGGCCUAACACAUGCAAGUCGAACGGCAGCACCGUAAGAGCUUGCUCUUACGGGUGGCGAGUGGCGGACGUGUGAGGAAUACAUCGUAAUCUACUUUUUCGUGGGGGAUAACGUAGGGAAACUUACUCUAAUACCGCAUACGACCUACGGUUGAAAGCAUGGGAUCUUCUGACCUUGCGCGAUUGAAUGAGCCGAUGUCGGAUUAGCUAGUUGGCGGGGUAAAGGCCCACCAAGGCGACGAUCCGUAGCUGGUCUGAGAGGAUGAUCAGCCACACUGGAACUGAGACACGGUCCAGACUCCUACGGGAGGCAGCAGUGGGGAAUAUUGGACAAUGGGCGCAAGCCUGAUCCAGCCAGACCGCGUGGGUGAAGAAGGCCUUCGGGUUGUAAAGCCCUUUUGUUGGGAAAGAAAAGCAGCAGGUUAAUACCCCGCUGUUCUGACGGUACCCAAAGAAUAAGCACCGGCUAACUUCGUG